CCUACGGGAGUCUGCAGUGAGGAAUAUUGGUCAAUGGGCUUACGCCUGAACCAGCCAAGUCGCGUGAGGGAAGACUGCCCUAUGGGUUGUAAACCUCUUUUGUCAGGGAGCAACGCCGGCUACGUGUAGCCGGACUGAGAGUACCUGCAGAAAAAGCAUCGGCUAACUCCGUGCCAGCAGCCGCGGUAAUACGGAGGAUGCGAGCGUUAUCCGGAUUUAUUGGGUUUAAAGGGUGCGUAGGCGGAAUGCCAAGUCAGCGGUAAAAUCGCGGGGCUCAACCUCGCUCCGCCGUUGAAACUGGCGGUCUUGAGUGGGCGAGAAGUAUGCGGAAUGCGUGGUGUAGCGGUGAAAUGCAUAGAUAUCACGCAGAACUCCGAUUGCGAAGGCAGCAUACCGGCGCCCAACUGACGCUGAAGCACGAAAGCGUGGGUAUCGAACAGGAUUAGAUACCCCAGUAGUC
rnacentral:rRNA from 1 species